AGAUGAUUUCCCUUCAGAAUUUACCAGCUGAUCAAGAUAUGCUUGCUAUCAGAAAAAGGUAUUAAGAUGAAAGUGUGUCCACAAGGGUUGUGUGCUGACAGAGGACAAGCUAUCAAGAAAUGCUACCAAGUCAUGUUCUGAUGUAUGCCAAGUGGAAGACAGUCAAGUCCAGAGAAGAGGAGCAUCUCAAACCCUCUGUUGGUCAAAGGAGAGAAGAUAGGAGCAGAACUCAGAGAAAGAGGCUAGAACACAUCCUGCAGUGAGGAGAUUUUGCUCUUACUUGAGGACAGACAGAGAUUCAAGAGCCAGCUAAUCGUGGAAUCUUCAUAUAGACCCAGAAACAAUAACAUCGACCAUGUGUGACGUGUUGCAAGUUACAAGAAGCAGUCACAGCCUACCCAUAUGAAAUGAAGGAGAUAAAGACUUCCUCCACGGGAAGAGCGUCAAAGAGCUGGGUUCAAGUUUAAAACUGCCAUUGCAGUGUUUUUGAUUUCUGCCACACACCCCACCACGAUGAGCUGCCUCAUCACGGACUCAAACCAACAGGGCCAAUCCAUCAUGGACUGGAAUCUCCAAAACUGUGAGCCAGGAUGAAUCCUCUCUUUAGAGGAUACUGAGACCAAGAGAGGCCACAUGAUAUACCCAAUGUCAAUGCAAAGCGACACAGCCAGUAUUAAAAAAGAAAUCCGCU